UACGUAGGGGGGCAAGCGUUGUCCGGAUUUAUUGGGCGUAAAGAGCUCGUAGGCGGCUUGUCGCGUCGGAUGUGAAAGCCCGGGGCUUAACCCCCGGGUCUGCAUUCGAUACGGGCAGACUUGAGUUCGGUAGGGGAGACUGGAAUUCCUGGUGUAGCGGUGAAAUGCGUAGAUAUCAGGAGGAAUACCAGUGGCGAAGGCGGCUUCUGGGCCUACCCUGACGCUGAGGAGCGAAAGCGUGGGGAGCAAACCGG
rnacentral:rRNA from 1 species